UUCCCUCUCUCUGCUCUCACGUCUCUCUCUCCCUCGCCUCUCUCACGCCGCCGUCGACAUGAGGAGCGCAAUGCGCCGUCUCCGCCCCGUGUUCUUCCUCUGUCCUCCCUUUCUCCAGCCCAAGCCACGACCACACCGCCGCGCCCGCCUUCUCCUCAUUGGGAACAAGCAGAGGAGGAGGAGCGUGGGCCGCAGAGACGACGAGGUGGCCGAGCUGCCCGUGGUGUCGUCGCCGUUCCUCAUGACUCAGCGGGCCGGAGGUGUGCCGGCCGCAGGAGGAGUGCGCGCUGGGGAUGUGGCGGGCCAAGGGUCGCUCGCCAGCGCCGCCCGCUGACCGUCAGAUCCGAGUGCAGCCUCUUCGACGACCUCCCGUGCACGCCACCGCUGGCGACGGUGAGGACCUCGCCCUCUGUUCCCCGGGGCCGUCCACUAUGCACCGUCAGUUCGACCAAGGAGCGACAGAGGCAGAGGCGCAGGGCGACCAGCGCCCCACGCAGGCACUAGAUGCGGCGCUCCUCCGUCUCUCCUCCUUCUGCGUCUGCUGCAGGAGACGAACAUACGUUGCUGGUCGCCGGCUUGGCCUGCAAGAGGAUGCUCUCCUGCUCUAACUUGCUCACAUGUUAGUGUUUCACCAAUGAAGAUGUAUAUUCAAGCCUCUGUCUUCAUAAACAACAACUCGUCCUCCCUUCCCCUUGGGACGUGCUGUUUGUGGAGAAGUCUGAGAUUCUGACUCGGGAAGUGAUUCUGAAAGCGAAUCAGAGAAGGUCGGCAGCGCAGCAAGACUUGCGAAGGUGCUUUGGCAAUUUUUUACUGGGUGAUCCUUCGGUUAAGGUAACUGAAGAUAGUUUACUGUUGAGUGAGCCCUUUAUAUUCUGGCGGAGUUACUGAGAAAGGAGGUAAAUGAAGCGCCAACUAUUACCAGCAAAAAUCAAUGUGGAGUUGCAGUUCCAUGCUGUCGUCAUCAUUCAGGGAUGGAUGACGAGCAGCUGAGUUUGCUGCCAUUGGAUUCAUUAAACGGGAGGUCAAUAUGGUUGGCUUCUGCACUAUGGACUUUGCAAAGGUAUAGUAGAUGUACUGAUAGUCUGAUACAUUUCUUCAACCUCGGCGCUUUACACGUUCGUUGUUUACUUCGAUUGAUGGCAGUUCAUUUUUUUUGACUUGGUGAACGUUCUCAUGGAACUGAAAGUUUCCAUAAAAGAUGGAUAUCUUCACUUCAUGCCUUACUUCUCUUGCAUAGAUUGGAUACUAAUUUUCAGGUGUUCAGGGAAAUAUUUUUGAACUGGUAUAUUUAUAUUUGUUUGUAGCAUACUAAGUUAAUCUAACUUGGCUUUACUUUAGCCUGCAUAAAGUUGGUAAAUGACAGUCUUUGCUUUAAUUUUCCUGAUUCAGAGGCAGGAACUAUCAUAUGAUGAUAUUCUCCUCAUAUUAUUUUCUUUGUUCUCCCUAAUUUUAAUGCACUACAGAAGGUUGGUUGUCUCCUCACAGAUUUUCAGACUGUUGAUGGGCAAAACGUUUCUAUGGAACACAAUUAUUACAACACCAAGAUCAGAUGCUCGGAUAGUUCUUGCUAUUGCUUCUUUAGGGGUCACACCUUUGCUAUUGCUUCAAGUUACCUAU